UCUACACCUUUUGUUCAAUAGUUUCUUAUAACAUAUUAAGAUUCUUAGGUUUGAUGUUGUAAACAAUUGAUGUUACAGUUUCAAUGGAAAAAUUUAGCACCAUGUUUUAAGAUCCAGUAAGGGACUGUUAAAAGUUAGAUUUUAAAAUUUGUUUACUUUAAUCAAUGGUAUUAAAGGACAAAGCCACAAUAUUCAAUGAUAUUAAGCAAACAGGUGAACUUUUGCUAUUUGAGUUAACAAAGCAACAGUCAUUACCAUCCAUGCGAUACGCUAACAUGUUGAAUUAACAUGAAUUAUCCAAAAAGCUGGGGUUUAAUAUACACUAUAGGUUGGAAAAGAUUAUUACCGUUUAAACACUUAAGCCUGCCAAUUUGCCAUUCCCCACAUAUAUUAUGUCCCUACAACUUGCAUUUCAAAACCCAUAGCAUGCAACUGCAGCUCUGAAAAGUAAACCAGCUGACAAUGAUAACUUGUACAUAGAUCUCCCUGAACUCCUUCAAACUGCCCCAUGAGGGACGAAAUUGUCAUCCUUGAUUGAUUUUCAACAUCAGAAUUGGCCAAACUGGCAUGGAAGGGAAUACUCCUAAACUAACAGUUGGAAACCACAAUGAAAACAUAUAUCAACUCUUGGAACCUUGUACAGAAAAGCAACUACCCAUAACCAGCAUCUCCUUCCAACACAGAUGUGAUGCAUCCCCAUUCUAAACACUGGCACCUAAUAGACUACAUCUCAGUGCACCAGUGUGACCUAAAGGACAUUGAGUACUACAGCCAUGUCCAGUGUUGAUUGUCAUACAGAGCACCAGCUCUUUCACUCGAAGCUGAACUUUCACUUCAAACCGGAGCCCAAGAAUGGGCCUAGCGAGAACCCAGCCUAGAUAUUGAGGCAGCAACAUGCCAAUCUCAUCAUUUCAGAGAGCGAUAUUAAACAACCUUACAGACUAGACUGGAGCACCCUGAUCUGUGCUGAUUCCACUCCAGGAAAACUCUGGGAGCACACAGCUGCAGUACUGGCUCCUUCCCUUGAGGUUGUUGGGUCCAGCAUGAAGAACAACAGGGACUAGUUUGAAAAUAGCAAGGAACAUGAAUAAAAUGCUCAAAUCAUUAGGCUCUCCUGGCUCAGCUGGCCAGCCAAGAAAAAGACAGUUGACCAUCAAGCACACAGCACCCUCCAGUGUAAACUUAGGAAAUCAAAAAUGACUGGUGGGACCGCACUUGUGGGAAAAAGAUAUCAACUGUACAUUAAUACUGGGGAAAUAUGAAGAUUUUGGUGCUUCAUAAAAACUAUCUGCGGACCAACAUAUCAAACUCAAAGCCCUUGAGGAGCGCCAGUGGCAGGACACUCCACUAUAUAUUAGGAGGUAGUCGCUGAAUCUUGGUCAGGGCACUUUGAAACAUUCUUCAGCACCAAGUGCACAGUAUGUGAUACGGCCUUCCAACUGCAUCAAGCAAAAGCCUGUCAAUGAAGGACUGAUGAAAGCCUCGCUCUGCAGGAAAUUGAUCGCCAUCAACCAAAUGAAGAGCAACAAAGCCUCUGGAUUCAUCAGAAUUCGAUCUGAAGCCUUAUUGGGUGAUAGUCGUACCUUGCAUACCCACCUCUUUCUUGGCCUGCCGGGACCAAGGUAGGAUUCCACAGGAUCUGUACUGGAGCCACUUGAUCCAGGUUACGUAAAAACAAAUAAGUCAUAUUGGUCCAACUACUGUGGAAUCCUUCUCCUUUCUACUGUUGGGAAGAUCCUGGCUUGAAUACUUCAAAUAAGCUUGUGCCUGCCAAUGGGAAGAAGAUCUCACAGCAAGCCAGUUUUAUUCCAGAGCAAACAGUGACACUACAGAUGCAGUAAUUCAUGGUAAAUACAGAAUAGUUUUGUGAACAAAUCACAAACAUCUACAUCACUUUUCACUAGAUCUCAUUCAGCACCCCCAGCCCACCUCCAAUAACCCCACACUAAUGUUCCUGGAGACAGUGAAGCAGUUUAUCAGCAAUCCUUAUGGACAGGUCAAGCGCAGGAGCAACCUGUGAAGUCCCUUCAGAAUCUCCAAAAGCUGUGAAGCAGGGAUAUGUGCUAGCCCCAGUUUUAUUCACCAUCAUCUUCAGCAUGAUGCUGCAGCAGGCAACAGAAAACCUUCAGGCAGUUUAUGCACAUGGACUGAUUUGCCUCAGGUUGAAGAAACCGCAAAAGACAUAGAGAAAACUCCCCAGUCCUGUGUUCAAAUUUUCCUGUCAUUAUCUUCCGAUCCCUCUCCCUCUCCCCACACCAAAUGCGGGUACAAUGCAGCCUCAGAACCUGUGGACAUAGUUUAAAAGUAGAGUAAAAUCCUAACGCGUGACUCUUCAGUCCAAAAGUAGCAGGCUCAGCUGAUUAAUCCAAAUUCACAUUCCAAGGAGGAGAAUUUUGGUGGACCAUAUCUAAAGAUAUGCUUGAGCAUUUUAUUUCUCCAUCCAAAGCCACCCUUUAGCAAUAAUACAUCCAGAAGUCUUUUUGAAGUUAAAGCAGAAUUAAACUCUGAACCACAAUGGUAAUAGUACAGAAGAUGGCCAGAAGUUUGUAAGUCACCACUUAAUGCACCAUCUUUGGUACAAUGAUACUAGGUACAGAAUCUUAGGUACAAAGCAUAAAAAUUAGGAAAACGAAGUUUUAAAAAGUUUAAACAUUAAAGCCUUUACUGAAAGGUAGAAAAGCAAAGAAACACAAUUAACAGUUCAACACCAUGGUCCAUAAGCACCUGGCCAUGCUGGGCUUGCAUUUCUCACAAGGGCUGGAGCCACCCCCCACCCCCCAAUCAUCCCGCUCUAGGCUCGAUCUCGCCUCCUCUCUCAGGCUGCCUGCUCCUGUUCUCGUCCCGGCCAGCUCAGGUUGCCUUCUCUCACUUUUGGCUCGCCAUCAUCACCGAAGGAAAGAAAAAGAUGAAAGAGGAAAGAAGAAAGAAGGAUGCGGCCAACCCAGUGCUGGUCAGCAGAUAAGCUCAGGAGCCGCUGCCGCCAUCUUGGAUCCUUAAGGAAGAAAUUAUAUGACCGUGGUGGAAGCUCUUCCGACUUAUGGCAUUCAUUACUAUGGAGUAAAGGAAUUUCAUCAACCCGUCAGCAAAACUGAUUCCUUUGGGCCCACAUUUGGAUUUCUUGAUUGAUACUACGUGGUGUUUGGAGAAAGUACAAACUGAGAUAUUAUGGCUCAACUUUGUCAGCCAC